rnacentral:lncRNA from 1 species
ACCCCGGGUUCCCUUUGGGUUUUGGGGCGGGGCCCCGGGCCAGUCCCGGUGGAAGGGCCACCGGAAAAACCCGGAAACCGGGGGGGGGGAAAAAAAGGGCCCCCCCCCCCCCCCCCCCCCCGCGCUCAUUCGCCGGCAGCCACCAGCGGGCUUUGCCUCCCGUGUGCCCGGGCUGUGACCCCACCAGUCCCCCGGAACCGUGUUUGCCCAGUGUACUGUCAGGCCACAUUCAGGGGUCCCCCCGUCGUCUUGGCCUGUGAGCACUCGAAGCAGGGUCCCCCCCACACCGAAACAGUGGCUGGGGCUCCCCAGGCAGCGCACGCCUCUAGACUCGCUCCCGCUCUGCUCACCACGCUCCCUCCAGAGGUCGGCUGUGGCCAGCGCUGCCCUUGGACGAUCUCUUCUCUCUCUCGGCGCUGCGGGCCGACCCAGAUGCUUGAAGCUAGGUCCCCAGUGGUCCCCAGACUCCGAGAGGCGUGUCCAGUGUUCACUUGCGGUCCCUGCUGGGAAGGCUCGGUGUGGCCAAAACAGUCUCAACAGUCUCUCUGCUUAACACCUCCGUCUGCCUCGUUGCUCGGCACAGUUGAGUGCUCACUUCCUGCCUUCCCGUCUCUUCCCUCCGCAGAGCAGCAGGUGCACCCGACCAGCCUCAGUGCAGCUGGAGGACUGGCCGUGGCCUGCACGUCCUUCCUCCCAGGCCUCUGUCUGUCCUGCCGUCACCCCUGCCGACCGUGUGCACACUUGCCCUGGCUGCUCCCCUUGUCUUAGAGUCGAUUUCCGCCUCAGAACUCGGCGUGUCCACUAACAUCAGACGCGACACGGCUCUCAGAGACCUGCUCCUGGACUCUGCGGCCGUGUUUUCCAUACUUCUUCAUCUCACAGAACCUUCUUUUAAAAGCUCUAAUCAGAUUCUGUCUCCCUUAGAUUAAGGACUUUCAAAGCCUGGUAAUUCUUACCACAUUGUACAAUGCUGAAUCUGUUAGGGAUAUUUUUGGCUCCGAGUAAUGGAAAAACUAACAGGGCCUUAAACAAAAGGGAGUUUCUUUUCCUCACAGGACGAGAAGUCCUGAGCAGGCGUUCGGGGGUGGUGUGUAGCUGCUAGAAGAUUCCAUGAAGCACUUGCCCUCUUGUGUGUUGGCGGUUCACCUCGUGGUCCCCGGAGGCUCCUGCAGCUCCAGACACCACAUCUGCAUCCUCCAUGAGGAAGUGGGAAGGGGGGAGAGGAGAGCUGCCCCAGUGAGCUCACUGCUGCGCUUCACCGUGUGUCGUUCCUCCUCGCUGCUGUUUCCCGGGUCUUCCUGCCGCCUGCCCCGUGCCUCUCGGGUCGCAGCCUG